rnacentral:rRNA from 1 species
AUCGCUCUUUGUAAAUAUAAAAUAAGGAGUCGUACCUGCCCGGUGAAAAAUUUAACGGCCGCAGUACCCUGACUGUGCAAAGGUAGCAUAAUCAUUUGCCUUUUAAUUGAAGGCUGGAAUGAAUGGUUUGACGAAAUUCUUCUGUCUCUAUCUUAUUAAAUAGAAUUUAAUUUUUAGGUGAAGAAGCCUGAAUGAAGUCAAAAGACGAAAAGACCCUGUCGAACUUUAGAGUAAUUAUAAAAUUAUAUGCUUUUUAGAAUAAAUGUUUUUUAGAAUUUCUCUUUUGUUGGGGUGACAGAAGAACAGAUAAAGCUUCUUUUAGUUGAGGAAACUUAUAUGUUGAAAAGAUCCAUAAAAAUUUAUGAUAGUAAGAUAAGUUACCGCAGGGAUAACAGCGUUAUUUUUCUGGAGAGUUCAAAUUGAAGGAAAAGAUUGCGACCUCGAUGUUGGAUUGGAAUACCUAAUAGGCGGAGAAGCUUGUUGUUGGGGGUCUGUUCGACCUUUAAAUUUCCACAUG